GACGAACGCUGGCGGCGUGCUUAACACAUGCAAGUCGAACGGUGACGACAGGGCUUGCCUUGUCUGAUCAGUGGCGAACGGGUGAGUAACACGUGAGUAACCUGCCCCAGACUCUGGGAUAACCCCGGAAAACCGGAGCUAAUACCGGAUAUGACCCUCGUACGCAUGUGCAGGGGGUGGAAAGUUUUUUCGGUCUGGGAUGGGCUCGCGGCCUAUCAGCUUGUUGGUGAGGUAGUGGCUCACCAAGGCGACGACGGGUAGCCGGCCUGAGAGGGCGACCGGCCACACUGGGACUGAGACACGGUCCAGUCUCCUACGGGAGGCAGCAGUGGGGAAUAUUGCACAAUGGGCGGAAGCCUGAUGCAGCGACGCCGCGUGAGGGAUGACGGCCUUCGGGUUGUAAACCUCUUUCAGCAGGGAAGAAGCGCAAGUGACGGUACCUGCAGAAGAAGCACCGGCUAACUACGUGCCAGCAGCCGCAGUAACAC
rnacentral:rRNA from 1 species